AGAGUUGAUCCUGGCUCAGGAUGAACGCUAGCUACAGGCUUAACACAUGCAAGUCGAGGGGCAGCAUGAUCAAAGCUUGCUUUGAUUGAUGGCGACCGGCGCACGGGUGAGUAACGCGUAUCCAACCUUCCCUAUAGUAGAGGAUAGCCCGGCGAAAGUCGGAUUAAUACUCUAUGUUGUUCAAUGCGGACAUCUAAGUUGAACCAAAGGUUUACCGCUAUAGGAUGGGGAUGCGUCUGAUUAGAUAGUAGGCGGGGUAACGGCCCACCUAGUCGACGAUCAGUAGGGUUCUGAGAGGAAGGUCCCCCACAUUGGAACUGAGACACGGUCCAAACUCCUACGGGAGGCAGCAGUGAGGAAUAUUGGUCAAUGGGCGAGAGCCUGAACCAGCCAAGUAGCGUGCAGGAUGACGGCCCUAUGGGUUGUAAACUGCUUUUAUACAGGGAUAAAGUGCGCCACGUGUGGCGUUUUGUAGGUACUGUAUGAAUAAGGACCGGCUAAUUCCGUGCCAGCCGCGGC
rnacentral:rRNA from 1 species